CACAGUUCAUCAUUUUUCCCGUGUCCUUCAUUUUGCUUCCCAUCCCUUUUGCUUGUGCAUUUUUCUUCCCUUCCCUUUCUCUUGUGCAGAACUCGUCCUCUCUUUCUUUCAUUCUUCAUAAUCUUUUGUUGUCUAUUUUUCCCUUGCUACUCCAAGAGCACCGGAAGAAAGGUUUGUUCAAGAGAUGAUAAAACUCAUUUCAUUUGGUUUGAUCGAAGGGAUUUUUCCAUCUUGAAUUUUUUGUUUUGUAGGCAUACUUGAGGGGGUUUUGAAUAAUUUAGAGUGGAAGAAAAUUUCAUGAAUAGUUUGGAAUAAAAAUAUCAUUUGAUUGAUAGGGAGAAGGAGGUUCUAAAGAAUUUUCAGAGUUGUUAAUUGAGAAAGACUCGUGUGCUGCUGCAAAAUAAGAAGAUGAACUUAGAGAUCUAAUCUGCAAAGCUUGAGAGACUAAAAGAGAAAGGAGAAGAUUUUGAGAUCUGGAAAGAAGAAGAUGAAGCAUGUUGGGUUUCAAUAUUUUGAAUGAUUCAAAACCAAUAACUAACGUUUAGGUGGAUAAUGCAUUUAUUAUAUUGUGAAUUUUUUUAUAUAAUUGAAAGUAUUAGGAGCAGGUGUAAUUAUAUGCUCGAUUUAUUUAUUUUAUAUAAUUAAAAAGUAUUAGGGGCGGAUGCUUCUGCCUGUGAUGAUGUGUAUUUAUAAAACUUGCCAACACGGCAACAAAAACAUUAGGGGCGGAUGUUUGACA